rfam:Nicotiana attenuata strain TT chromosome 2, whole genome shotgun sequence.
CACCGCCCGUCACACUAUGGGAGCUGGCCAUGCCCGAAGCCGUUACCUUAACCGCAAGGAGGGGGAUGCCGAAGGCAGGGCUAGUGACUGGAGUGAAGUCGUAACAAGGUAACCGUACUGGAAGGUGCGGCUA